GCCGGGUGUGGUGGUGGGCGCCUGUAAUCCUUGCUACUCGGGAGGCUGAGGCAGGAGAAUCGCUUGAACCCGGGAGGCGGAGGUUGCAGUGAGCCAAGAUCACGCCACUGUACUCCAGCCUGGGUAACAGAGCGAGACUCUGUCUCAA
ensembl:misc_RNA Metazoa_SRP Metazoan signal recognition particle RNA